GGUAACUGUCGCUGAGGAACGAAAGCGUGGGGAGCAAACAGGAGUAGAUACCCUGGUAGUCCACGCUGUAAACGAUGAGUACUAGGUGUCGGGGGUUACCCCCUGCGGUGCCGCAGCUAACGCAUUAAGUACUCCGCCUGGGAAGUACGCUCGCAAGGGUGAAACUCAAAGGAAUUGACGGGGACCCGCACAAGUAGCGGAGCAUGUGGUUUAAUUCGAAGCAACGCGAAGAACCUUACCUAAGCUUGACAUCCCAAUGACAUCUCCUUAAUCGGAGAGUUCCCU
rnacentral:rRNA from 1 species